rnacentral:lncRNA from 1 species
GGGCGUCCCCGCCUGGAUCCCCAGCCCACCCAGGCCGCGAGCAACCCAGAUGCCAACCCAGAAGCGCCGUCAUCACCAUGGCAACACCCCUUCUCACAUCUGUGGGCUGCGUAAUCCUCGGGGCCCAGCACACAGGGAAACGGUGCCAUUAUGGACACAAAAUGGGGAGUCUCUUUCCUCCUCUGUCCCAUCUGCUUGUCUGCUAUUUUCCACGUGUAUGGCCCCCAUGGCGGAGGCCAGCCAGUGUCGGGGAUCCCAGGCAGGGGAGAUGGUCAAGAACCUGUCCCAGGAAGGGCCAUGCCCCCAGCAUACCCUCCUUCGUCCCAUUGGACUUCAUCACAGAAUAAACGCCAAGACAAAAUCAUUAAAGUUGGGAUCCCUGGGUGGCUCAGCAGCUUGGCGCCUGCCUUCGGCCCAGGGCAUGAUCCUGGAGUCCCGGGAUCAAGUCCCACCACGUGGGGCUCCCUGCGUGGAGCCUGCUUCUCCCUCUGCCUGUGUCUCUGCCUCUCUC